rnacentral:rRNA from 1 species
CACUCCUACGGGAGGCAGCAGUGGGGAAUAUUGGACAAUGGGCGCAAGCCUGAUCCAGCCAUGCCGCGUGAGUGAUGAAGGCCCUAGGGUUGUAAAGCUCUUUCACCGGUGAAGAUAAUGACGGUAACCGGAGAAGAAGCCCCGGCUAACUUCGUGCCAGCAGCCGCGGUAAUACGAAGGGGGCUAGCGUUGUUCGGAUUUACUGGGCGUAAAGCGCACGUAGGCGGACUAUUAAGUCAGGGGUGAAAUCCCGGGGCUCAACCCCGGAACUGCCUUUGAUACUGGUAGUCUUGAGUUCGAGAGAGGUGAGUGGAAUUCCGAGUGCAGAGGUGAAAUUCGUAGAUAUUCGGAGGAACACCAGUGGCGAAGGCGGCUCACUGGCUCGAUACUGACGCUGAGGUGCGAAAGCGUGGGGAGCAAACAGGAUUAGAAACCCCAGUAGUCC